rnacentral:rRNA from 1 species
ACGGGGUGCAGCAGGCGCGAAACCUUCGCAAUGUACGCAAGUGCGACGAGGGGAUCCCAAGUGUCAUUCUUAACGGGAUGGCUUUUCAUUAGUGUAAAAAGCUUUUAGAAUAAGAGCUGGGCAAGACCGGUGCCAGCCGCCGCGGUAA